rnacentral:rRNA from 1 species
CCUACGGGAGGCAGCAGUGGGGAAUUUUGGACAAUGGGCGCAAGCCUGAUCCAGCCAUGCCGCGUGCGGGAAGAAGGCCUUCGGGUUGUAAACCGCUUUUGUCAGGGAAGAAACGCUCUGGGCUAACACCCCGGGGUAAUGACGGUACCUGAAGAAUAAGCACCGGCUAACUACGUGCCAGCAGCCGCGGUAAUACGUAGGGUGCAAGCGUUAAUCGGAAUUACUGGGCGUAAAGCGUGCGCAGGCGGCUGUGCAAGACAGAUGUGAAAUCCCCGGGCUUAACCUGGGAACUGCAUUUGUGACUGCAUAGCUAGAGUACGGCAGAGGGGGAUGGAAUUCCGCGUGUAGCAGUGAAAUGCGUAGAUAUGCGGAGGAACACCGAUGGCGAAGGCAAUCCCCUGGGCCUGUACUGACGCUCAUGCACGAAAGCGUGGGGAGCAAACAGGAUUAGAUACCCUGGUACGUCGACGCCCUAACCGAAUGUCAACUAGGUUGUUGGUAGGGUUCGUUUCUCUAGUACGUAGNUAACGCGUGAAGUGUACGCCGUGGGAGGUACGGGUCCGGCCGAAAGGUUGGUUAAACGUUACCGUUAAACGUUAAGUAAGUUAGGUUACGGCGUGGAGGACGUUACGCGACGGACGACGACGAGGGAGGAGG